GCAGUGAGCCGGCCGACUGCUGGAGACUUAGCGGCGUUUGUUGUUGUCCUGGAAUUGCAAGUACUAAAAGGCCACGAUUGGUUUUCGCUUCACUCUGAAGAGAAGAUUAGAACAUAAUACCAGGAAGACCUUGUGAAGACACAGGAAUAACUUUCUACAAGCCAAGGAGAGAGGCCCCAGGGGAGACCAAGUCUGCUGGCCCUUUGAUCUUGGACUUCUAGCCUCCAGAACUGUGAAGACAAAAAUAUCUAUGGUUUAAGCCAUCCAGUGUGUUGCAUUUUGUUACGGUGGUCCUGACAAACACAUACGCUAACUGAAGGUGUGAGGGCAGGUGUGGCUUGCCAUGUGGAGAUUCUUUGGUCUAGCUGUUGGAUGCUGCUAGAAUUUUAUUGAGUGUUAUUAGGGCUAGGACACUGUAACAACCUUUCUUACUUUAAAAUGCAUUUUCUUUAUCUCCAUGCCUAUAGGAGGAGCAGGCAAGCUGGAGGGUCUGUUCGGUAAGUGCUAUGGAGUGCUGGACUCAGGAAAGUAUCCUGCACUUUCAUGCUGAGUGAUCCAGAGUCACCCAGCUUAUUUGUCCAUUUGUCAGGCUCUGCAAAAUUGCUGGAAUGACCCUGCUGUUCUGUGUCAAAAGAAGGGGAUGUCUUAGCUUCAUUGCAUGGUUAAAGUUGAUUCCAGAGUACAUUUAUGCCUUUCUUCUAUUCUGCACUUUUAAGUCUCUAUGGUUUUUCUAAGUAAAAUAUGAAAACUGCAUUGCAAUUUGAGUUCUGUUGGAAAUUAUAGCUGCAGCAGGCUAACCUCAAGCCCUUCUUUCUCUCUCAAAAUCCUCCUUUUCAUAGGCUUAAAAAAAAGUCUUUUAAUUUUUUCAAAACAUGUGACUGCAUAGCUAAGUGAUUCAGUUCCCUACUUGUGCUUGGGGGUGCAAAGAGGUAGAAGGAAUGCAGAAUGAGGGAAGGCAGAAUCUAGGAGCCUGGGUGGGUGGUUUGCCUUUGCCUCUGUUCCCCAGCUUCAUCCUCUGACCCUGCUUGUCCUGUUGUGCCUUGUUCUCUGAGAGCUGACUUCAUUACCUAAGCUCUUGCCCUCUACUUUCUGGUUGGUCUGGCCGAUGGGAGGCACUAGGAGAGAGGGAGGGAAUGGAGGGAGAGGUCUGGAUAUUUGCCUCCCAACCCUCCCAACACCUCUGCAUGCCUUCUUAUAGUUCUGAAUUUUUUCCUGUCUAUAACUACAGCUCCUGCUGUAGUUAGCCCCAGAAAGAGCAUUUCCUCCCUUUCCCCUUCCAACCUAAGAGUAGUAAUGUCUCCCAUCUCUUCAAUUGAUAAUCCCUGAUUAUUUCACCAUUCCUUAUUAUUUUCUUUGAUUCUACCCACCUGUGGGCAAAUAGUCUUUUCAUUACAUUGUUCUCAGUUAAACUUUUUGGUAUGCCCGUGCUAGGACUCUGAUAGACCCAUGAAUCAGAAGACAUUUGCUUUCUUAUAUUAGAUAUUUAAAGCACUAUUAUGUAUUUUGGCAAAAUUUGAUAUCCUUUUCCUUUCCUCAGACUUUACUGAGAAGGAAUGUAAUAUAGGUCCCCCCUUCCUGAUCUCUAAGUGAUUGCUUGCUCCUUUUUAAUCAUUCAUGAAUAUGCAUUCUUGUGGUUUUCUCCAGGUGCACACAUACCAGGCUGGGAAGGAAUGGGAUGAAGUUCCUUAUUUGAAAAAAUAACAAAUGUAUAUAUACCCAGUGGUAUGCUGGAAAAUGCUUAAAAACCAGCUCUCUUUGGUGGAGGGAGCCCUAAUUUGUGGAAUUUGCCAUUUUCUGUGGUGUAUCUCUUUCCACCAUAGCCGAUUCAAACUACCAGUAUAUCAUAGAACAUAAAUUGGCAGGAGAUGCUGCCUAACCUGUAUGAGCACUUGCAGGCUGGUACAAGCUGGCUCCAGCAUUCCACUGUUUAUAUUUAGCUGUAGGCAGAUUAGGAUGAAUGCAUUUAUAUUACAGCGGGAAUUUAAUAGGUUAAAACAUUACAGUAAAGUAGUUUGUUGGGAAAGUCACUGUGAGUCGAAAGGGGGCUUACUGAUCAGUUAGCUGUUGAACAUAAAUAGGAAGCACAGAUGUGUUUGUGUUAUCAGUGGAGGGUUUGACUGUGGUUCAGUCAUUCCUGGUUUCAAAUGCAAAUUGAAGGCAGCGUUCAGAUUCCAGGAUCCUGGUAUAUUGUCAUGGUUGCUAAACUACUGAGAGUGCUUGCUGCUUAUCAUUGAGAGUCCAGCUUCAGUUAUUGUUGGAGGGUUUACUUUUCUCCUUCUCAGAUAAAUUUUUUUUUUUUUUUGGUCUUUUUGCCUUUUUUGGAGAUGCCCCUGUGGCAUCUCCUGAGCCGUGACAGGAACUCCUCAAAUCACUUUUAUGUUUAGUUAACUACAUGAGGUGGGUGGGUGAAAAAUUAUCUGAAAAUGAUAGAACAACCAGCACGGUUUCAUUUGAAGUUCUCUGAAUAUAUGCUGGAAAUAUGAAAAUUAUGUAAUCAAAUCUUGGAGCCCAGAACCCAGGAGACAGCCCUUAAAGCUUAAAAGAACAAAUUAUACGAGUUCCUGUCAUGGCGCAGUGGUUAACGAAUCCGCCUAGGAACCAUGAGGUUGCGGGUUUGAUCCCUGGCCUUGCUCAGUGGGUUAAGGAUCUGGUGUUGCCAUGAGCUGUGGUGUAGGUCACAGACGCGGCUCGGAUCCCAUGUUACUGUGGCUCUGGCAUAGGCUGGUGACUUCAGCUCUGAUUAGACCCCUAGCCUGGGAACCUCCAAAUGCUGCGGGAAGCGGCCCCAGAAAAGGCAAAAAGACGAAGAAAAAAAAAAAA
rnacentral:lncRNA from 1 species